AGAGUUUGAUCCUGGCUCAGAAUGAACGCUGGCGGCAUGCCUAACACAUGCAAGUCGAACGAAGCCUUCGGGUUUAGUGGCGCACGGGUGCGUAACGCGUGGGAAUCUGCCCCUUGGUUCGGAAUAACAGUUGGAAACGACUGCUAAUACCGGAUGAUGACGUAAGUCCAAAGAUUUAUCGCCGAGGGAUGAGCCCGCGUAGGAUUAGGUAGUUGGUGUGGUAAAGGCGCACCAAGCCGACGAUCCUUAGCUGGCCUGAGAGGAUGAUCAGCCACACUGGGACUGAGACACGGCCCAGACUCCUACGGGAGGCAGCAGUGGGGAAUAUUGGACAAUGGGCGAAAGCCUGAUCCAGCAAUGCCGCGUGAGUGAUGAAGGCCUUAGGGUUGUAAAGCUCUUUUACCCGGGAUGAUAAUGACAGUACCGGGAGAAUAAGCUCCGGCUAACUCCGUG
rnacentral:rRNA from 1 species